rnacentral:rRNA from 1 species
UACGUAGGUGGCAAGCGUUGUCCGGAUUUAUUGGGCGUAAAGAGCGUGUAGGCGGCCAUACAGGUCCGUUGUGAAAACUGGAGGCUUAACCUCCAGACGUCGAUGGAAACCGUAUGGCUAGAGUCCGGAAGAGGAGAGUGGAAUUCCUGGUGUAGCGGUGAAAUGCGCAGAUAUCAGGAAGAACACCCGUGGCUAAGGCGGCUCUCUAGUACGGUACUGACGCUGAGACGCGAAAGCGUGGGGAGCAAACAGG